rnacentral:misc_RNA from 1 species
GUAAAAGAGAAAUACAAACUCCAAUUCAGUAUUGUAACAAUAUACAAGUUACUGUCUAUUUAUUUCAUCCAUCUUAAUUCAAUUUGCAAUGGGCAGGCUUUGAAUGAGUCUUUCAAUCUAAGACAUGAGUUUGCUGCAAUCAACAAAGACUAAUUCAACCAAUACUGAAGGAUGCAACAUGCCACUUGUUUGAAACUGAUUUGCAGUGUUCUAUAAUUAUUUCUGGUACAAAUUUAGCAUGCUUUUCCAGUUAGAGCACAGCAAACUUGAAAAGAGAAAUACAGAAGAUUGAAGAAGCAAAAGUCAUGGGCAAUUUGAUUCAAGCCCUGGUCAUUCAUUUGACUCGCUGAUUCCCUCAAGUGGCAUAUUUUUGAGCAAUUAAAUUUAUAAAUAGUCUUCAUCACUGCCCAUUUCCAAAUAUGCAGUAGACUUUCUGUAGGGAUUGGAAAAUAAUGGCCACUAAAAAUAGAAGAAAAAAUUUUAACAGACACUUUCUAACUGAACAGUCACUGCAACCAAGAUCAAGGAGUCAGAUAUCACAAAUUUCUCAUAAUCACAAAGAAUGAAAUUAUAUAGGUAAAAACAAUGGCUGGAUAAAACUUUCACAACCUUAGAUCAAAGUCUUAAUAACUGAUGUCAAAACCUGACAAAUAUUUCUAGCCCGUUGAUUCCAAAAUUCGCUAUUUGCAAAGCAUCCAUUUUAUUGAAGAACCUCAUCAGCAAUCAUGAACUAUCACCUCAGUUAUCAAGUACUUACUCCGACAAGCAAGAAGAGUGAUCUCAUGAAAAGAGGCUAAUAAUGGAGUAUGAAUCAAAACCAGAUUAUCACCAAUCUGCAACAAUCUCAAAUACACUCCAGAGUCUGGACUUGGAAAGUUAGGAGAACAUGUAACUGAAGCAUUUUAACAGCAAAUUGGUGUACAACUUUAGAUUCCCAACCUCUCCACCCUUGAGCUAGUUGUUUCUUUUUUUCCUAAUAGCAGCUUAUGGUCCACUUAUUCCACACUAGCAGAUACCAACCUCCACCAAAUAAAAAACGAAAAAAAAAUCCUAAAAGCCAUUCUUCUUGAGGGGGGGAAGACAGAAUGAGGGGUCUUUCUUGUCUAUUUCAAUGUUACCACUGAUAUUGGCUGAAUAAUUAGUUUUAAUGGAGUUUGAAAUCA